rnacentral:rRNA from 1 species
AGUGAACGCUGGCGGUAGGCCUAACACAUGCAAGUCGAACGGCAGCACAGUAAGAGCUUGCUCUUACGGGUUGCGAGUGGCGGACGGGUGAGGAAUACAUCGGAAUCUACUUUUUCGUGGGGGAUAACGUAGGUAAACUUACGCUAAUACCGCAUACGACCUACGGGUGAAAGCAGGGGAUCUUCGGACCUUGCGCGAUUGAAUGAGCCGAUGUCGGAUUAGCUAGUUGGCGGGGUAAAGGCCCACCAAGGCGACGAUCCGUAGCUGGUCUGAGAGGAUGGUCAGCCACACUGGAACUGAGACACGGUCCAGACUCCUACGGGAGGCAGCAGUGGGGAAUAUUGGACAAUGGGCGCAAGCCUGAUCCAGCCAUACCGCGUGGGUGAAGAAGGCCUUCGGGUUGUAAAGCCCUUUUGUUGGGAAAGAAAAGCAGCAGGUUAAUACCCCGCUGUUCUGACGGUACCCAAAGAAUAAGCACCGGCUAACUUCGUG